UACAGAGGGUGCGAGCGUUAAUCGGAAUUACUAGGCGUAAAGCGCGCGUAGGCGGCUUUGCAAGUCGGGUGUGAAAUCCCCAGGCUUAACCUGGGAACUGCAUUCGAGACUGCAUUGCUAGAGUAUGGGAGAGGGAAGUGGAAUUUCCGGUGUAGCGGUGAAAUGCGUAGAUAUCGGGAGGAACACCUGUGGCGAAGGCGGCUUUCUGGGCCGUACCUGACGCUGAGACGCGAAAGCGUGGAGAGCAAACAGG
rnacentral:rRNA from 1 species